rnacentral:rRNA from 1 species
AGAGUUUGAUCAUGGCUCAGAAUCAACGCUGGCGGCGUGCCUAACACAUGCAAGUCGAACGAGAAAGUGGAGCAAUCCAUGAGUAAAGUGGCGCACGGGUGAGUAACACGUGACUAACCUACCCAGGAGUGGGGGAUAACUGAGGGAAACCUUAGCUAAUACCGCAUAACACCUAAGGGUCAAAGGAGCAAUUCGCUUCUGGAGGGGGUCGCGGCCGAUUAGUUAGUUGGCAGGGUAAUGGCCUACCAAGACGAUGAUCGGUAUCCGGCCUGAGAGGGCGCACGGACACACUGGAACUGAAACACGGUCCAGACUCCUACGGGAGGCAGCAGUGGGGAAUUUUGCGCAAUGGGGGAAACCCUGACGCAGCAACGCCGCGUGGAGGAUGAAGUCCUUCGGGACGUAAACUCCUUUCGAUCGGGACGAUUAUGACGGUACCGGAAGAAGAAGCCCCGGCUAACUUCGUGCCAGCAGCCGCGGUAAUACGAGGGGGGCGAGCGUUGUUCGGAAUUAUUGGGCGUAAAGGGUGCGUAGGCGGUUUGGUAAGUCUGAUGUGAAAUCUAUGGGCUCAACUCAUAGUCUGCAUCGGAAACUGCCGGGCUUGAGUAUGGGAGAGGUGAGUGGAAUUCCUGGUGUAGCGGUGAAAUGCGUAGAUAUCAGGAGGAACACCUGUGGCGAAAGCGGCUCACUGGACCAUAACUGACGCUGAUGCACGAAAGCUAGGGGAGCAAACAGGAUUAGAUACCCUAGUAGUCC